AAAAACAUGUCCUUUUGUUUAUUUAUUUAAGGUCUGACCUGCCCAAUGAGGAAUUGAAUGGCCGCAGUAUUUUAACUGUGCUAAGGUAGCAUAAUCAUUUGUCUUUUAAUUGAGGGCUGGAAUGAAGGGUUGGACGAGGUAUUAACUUUCUUUGAUUUAAUGAGGAGAAUUUAAUUUUUGAGUUAAAAAGCUUAAAUUUAUUUGUGGGACGAGAAGACCCUAUAGAUCUUUAUAGUUUUAUAUUUUAAUAAUUUGGUGAUUUAUUUGUUUUAAGUAGAUGAACUAUUUUGUUGGGGUGACUGUAGAAUUUAAAUAACUUCUAUUAUUUUAUUUCAUUAAUUAGUGUUUUUGUGAUCCAUAUUUUAUGAUUAUAAGAUUAAGUUACCUUAGGGAUAACAGCGUAAUUUCCUCGGAGAGUUCAUAUUGAUGGGGGAG
rnacentral:rRNA from 1 species